ensembl:lncRNA novel transcript
CUCCUGCCUCAGCCUCUGGGAGUAGCUGGGACUACAGGGGCCCGCCACCACGCCCGGAUAAUUUUUUUCUAUUUUUUAGUAGAGACGGGGUUUCACCGUGUUAGCCGGGACGGUCUUAAUCUCCUGACCUAGUUAUCCGCCAGCCUCGGCCUCCCAAAGUGCUGGAAUUACGGGUGUAAAAUGUAAAUAUUGAGAGGGUAAAAUAUCUUUCUGGAGAGUUGCAUUUUGGUCGAUGUCAACUGGAGACACAAGAGUGACCAGAUUGUUAAGAGAGUGGUUGGUUACGGUCCCAAGAGUAAAUCACAAAUAAAGGACUGUGGUCUUACUAAACAGUAAGGCUCCGGUGAAAUGUGCCGUGAAAGACACCUAUAGUUGCUUUAUCAUGAGAGGCAAAUGUCGACAUGAGUGUCAUGAUUUUGAAAAACCAAUUGGUUUCUGCACAAAACUAAAUGCCAACUGUUAUAUGUAGAAGUUUGAAAUAAAAAUCAGCAUCCCUCAAAAGUAAAGCACAGUGAGUACAAGGAUUAGUAAUAAAAGAAACUGAAUUAC